AACGAACGCUGGCGGCAGGCCUAACACAUGCAAGUCGAACGCACCGCAAGGUGAGUGGCGCACGGGUGAGUAACACGUGGGAAUGUACCCUUUGGUUCGGAAUAACGUUUGGAAACGAACGCUAAUACCGGAUGAGCCCUGCGGGGGAAAGAUUUAUCGCCAAAGGAGCAGCCCGCGUCUGAUUAGCUAGUUGGUGGGGUAAAGGCCUACCAAGGCGACGAUCAGUAGCUGGUCUGAGAGGAUGAUCAGCCACACUGGGACUGAGACACGGCCCAGACUCCUACGGGAGGCAGCAGUGGGGAAUAUUGGACAAUGGGCGGAAGCCUGAUCCAGCCAUGCCGCGUGAGUGAUGAAGGCCUUCGGGUUGUAAAGCUCUUUCGCACGCGACGAUGAUGACGGUAGCGUGAGAAGAAGCCCCGGCUAACUUCGUGCCAGCCGCCGCAGUAAGAC
rnacentral:rRNA from 1 species